rnacentral:rRNA from 1 species
UACGUAGGGUGCAAGCGUUGUCCGGAAUUAUUGGGCGUAAAGAGCUCGUAGGCGGUUUGUUGCGUCGGCUGUGAAAACCUGAGGCUCAACCUCAGGCCUGCAGUCGAUACGAGCAGACUAGAGUGUUGCAGGGGAGACUGGAAUUCCUGGUGUAGCGGUGAAAUGCGUAGAUAUCAAGAGGAACACCUGCGGCGAAGGCGGGUUGCUGGGCUGACACUGACGCUGAGACGCGAAAGCGUGGGGAGCGAACAGG